rnacentral:rRNA from 1 species
GCAUAUCAAUAGCGGAGGAAAAGAAACCAACAGGGAUUGCCCUAGUAACGGCGAGUGAAGCGGCAACAGCUCAAAUUUGAAAUCUGGCUCUCGGGCCCGAGUUGUAAUUUGUAGAGGAUACUUUUGAUGCGGUGCCUUCCGAGUUCCCUGGAACGGGACGCCAUAGAGGGUGAGAGCCCCGUCUGGUUGGAUGCCAAAUCUCUGUAAAGUUCCUUCGACGAGUCGAGUAGUUUGGGAAUGCUGCUCUAAAUGGGAGGUAUAUGUCUUCUAAAGCUAAAUACCGGCCAGAGACCGAUAGCGCACAAGUAGAGUGAUCGAAAGAUGAAAAGCACUUUGAAAAGAGAGUUAAAAAGUACGUGAAAUUGUUGAAAGGGAAGCGUUUAUGACCAGACUUGGGCUUGGUUAAUCAUCUGGGGUUCUCCCCAGUGCACUUUUCCAGUCCAGGCCAGCAUCAGUUUUCCCCGGGGGAUAAAGACUUCGGGAAUGUGGCUCUCUUCGGGGAGUGUUAUAGCCCGUUGUGUAAUACCCUGGGGGGGACUGAGGUUCGCGCAUCUGCAAGGAUGCUGGCGUAAUGGUCAUCAACGACCCGUCUUGAAACACGGACCAAGGAGUCGUCUUCGUAUGCGAGUGUUCGGGUGUCAAACCCCUACGCGUAAUGAAAGUGAACGCAGGUGAGAGCUUCGGCGCAUCAUCGACCGAUCCUGAUGUUCUCGGAUGGAUUUGAGUAAGAGCAUACGGGGCCGGACCCGAAAGAAGGUGAACUAUGCCUGUAUAGGGUGAAGCCAGAGGAAACUCUGGUGGAGGCUCGCAGCGGUUCUGACGUGCAAAUCGAUCGUCAAAUAUGGGCAUGGGGGCGAAAGACUAAUCGAACCUUCUAGUAGCUGGUUCCCGCGAG